UCCGAAGAUAAAAGGUUUCCUCGUCCUGUGAGUUCAUUGAUGUCAUAUCGGUUAAGGGGAAGAAUGUGAUAUAUAAUCAAGGAUCACCCAACCCUUUCAUGCUAUCAAUGAAAGUAUAGCUUUUUCCCCGUGACCAAGACGUAGGGAAUCCCAGUUUUUUAUGAAAGAGAAUGCUAUACCGAAUCCAUUGCGUCUAGAAGAGCUCGUGUCAAUCGAAUGUCCCCCUUUCACCUAUUCAACUCGGAAUCGGGAACGCUGCUGAACCUAGCUACUCAAGGCUGAUAGCGCCUGGAAACAAAGAAAGGCUUUCUCGUUGGCCAGACAUAGAGGUUCCCCGCUGUUCUCUUAGUUGAAGACCCCUGUUCUGGAAAAACCUUUCUUCAAAGUAGUAGUCG
rnacentral:misc_RNA from 1 species